CACUUCGGUGGCCUAGUGAUUAGAGUGUCCGCCUCGGAUGCGGGAGGUUGUCGGUUCGUUCCCCAGCUGAGUCA